rnacentral:lncRNA from 10 species
CAGCAUUUCAUCAUAUGUUCUCAGCAACUGCAUGAAAAGAAGCUUCUUUCCCAUUCCAUCUAUCAGAAGCCCCCGGUACCAGGCUCUAAAAUGACCAACCUGGGUCAAGUGUUCAUUCUUGUACUCUUCUCUAUGGCCAGAGGUUCACAGGUGCUGUGAUGUCUUUCACAGGCAAUGGAUAAAGCAUCCUGCAUUGUCCUAGGCACACUCUGUAGGGAAGAUAUGGGAAUCUGAAGUCAACUUUGCCAAAAUUGGUAAAAGAGAUCAUUUAAAUGGCUUCCAGAGUUCUGGAUGAACAGUUUCUUCAAGAAGGAAUUUGGAAAAGGAGGAAGAGAGAGAACCCUCUCUCCAAAUGCACAUACUGAAGAAAGACCAUGUGAAUAUACAACAAGAAGGGGAUUGUCUACAAGCCAGGAAGAAAGCACUCACCAAAACCUGACCUUGCUGGUACCCUGAUUCCAGAUUUCCAGACUUUGGAACUAUGAGAAAUAAAUUGGUUGUUUUAACCACGUAGUCUACAGUAUUUU